AAUUAAUUAGCUUAUAAAAGCAUUUGUUUUGAAAACUUAAGAAAGAAUAUAAAUUCUAUUAAUUU
rnacentral:tRNA from 1 species